UGCCAGCCGCCGCGGUAAUACGGAGGGUCCAAGCGUUGUCCGGAAUUAUUGGGUUUAAAGGGUGCGUAGGUGGUUAGAUAAGUCAGGGGUGAAAUCCUCCCGCUCAACGGGAGAACUGCCCUUGAUACUGUUUAACUUGAGUAUACUAAAGGUAGGCGGAAUUGAUGGUGUAGCGGUGAAAGGCAUAGAUAUCAUCAGGAACUCCGAUAGCGAAGGCAGCUUGAUAGAGUAUAACUGACACUGAUGCACUAAAGCGUGGGUAGCGAACAGGAUUAGAUA
rnacentral:rRNA from 1 species